rnacentral:rRNA from 2 species
ACGUUACGGAUUAUGGGUUUAAGGGUCCGUAGGCGGAUCUGUAAGUCAGUGGUGAAAUCUCACAGCUUAACUGUGAAACUGCCAUUGAUACUGCAGGUCUUGAGUAAAUUUGAAGUGGCUGGAAUAAGUAGUGUAGCGGUGAAAUGCAUAGAUAUUACUUAGAACACCAAUUGCGAAGGCAGGUCACUAAGAUUUAACUGACGCUGAGGGACGAAAGCGUGGGGAGCGAACAGGAUUAGAUACCCUGGUAGUCCACGCCGUAAACGAUGCUAACUCGUUUUUGGGUUUUCGGAUUCAGAGACUAAGCGAAAGUGAUAAGUUAGCCACCUGGGGAGUACGUUCGCAAGAAUGAAACUCAAAGGAAUUGACGGGGGCCCGCACAAGCGGUGGAUUAUGUGGUUUAAUUCGAUGAUACGCGAGGAACCUUACCAAGACUUAAAUGGGAAUUGACAGAUUUAGAAAUAGAUCCUCCUUCGGGCAAUUUUCAAGGUGCUGCAUGGUUGUCGUCAGCUCGUGCCGUGAGGUGUUAGGUUAAGUCCUGCAACGAGCGCAACCCCUGUCACUAGUUGCUACCAUUCAGUUGAGGACUCUAGUGAGACUGCCUACGCAAGUAGAGAGGAAGGUGGGGAUGACGUCAAAUCAUCACGGCCCUUACGUCUUGGGCCACACACGUAAUACAAUGGCCGGUACAGAGGGCAGCUACACAGCGAUGUGAUGCAAAUCUCGAAAGCCGGUCUCAGUUCGGAUUGGAGUCUGCAACUCGACUCUAUGAAGCUGGAAUCGCUAGUAAUCGCGCAUCAGCCAUGGCGCGGUGAAUACGUUCCCGGGCCUUGUACACACCGCCCGUCAAGCCAUGGAAGUUUGGGGUACCUGAAGUCGGUGACCGUAAAAGGAGCUGCCUAGGGUAAAACAAGUAACUAGGGCUAAGUCGUACAGAGGUGACGGAAAAA